UUGAAACCAGCUGGCAGGGCUGGUCCUUCCAGCCAACUGCAGCAGCCCUGGGGAUUCCCCUCAUGUGCUGGUGCUGCAGGGAGGGGAGGUGGGGAUAAGCCAGGUGAUUGGGGCUGUGUCCUGCCUGCUGGGGGGAGGAGGCUUUGCUUCCCCCUGCCCUACCUUGAAGCCCUCCAUCACCUACACCAAGCAGCAUGUGAGGGGAUUUACCUGCCUGGGGAUGGGUCCCUGCCCAAAUGGGAGAGCUGGAGGAAUAGCACUAAAGGAAGCAGGAGAGGUGCUGGAAAGGUGCAUUUUGCUGUGCAGCAACCUCGGGGCUGCUCAGUGCCUGUGUGGCCAUUCCCCCGCUGCGCCUUUGGGACAGAUGGAAUGAAGAUUGGUCCAGGGCAAAGCUGGCAGCCUGGGAGACUGGUUUCGGAGCCGAGAGGGAUGGGCAUCCGUUGUGAAGCUCUGCAAGGCCUCAGCUUCUCACUGCUGGAAACUAUUUCCCACCCUUUCUACGUACAUUCAAGCCAAAGAAAUGCGUUUUUAGCAGAGGCUCUGCUUUGCUUUGCCUGGCUUUGGGGUGCCACCGGGUCCCUGCGCAGGGAGCACUCAGCUCUGCCAGCUCAGCCUCCUGCUGUGGAGAUGCAUUCACCGAGGGCUCCAGCAUCUCGUUAAGCAAAACACUGCAAAAAGAGCCUGUGCAGUGCUCUUCCCCCUGUUUGGGAUGGGGUAGCCAAGGACAGAAGUCUAAAAGCAAGCAGGUUAUUCUCCAAAUGCACCACGAAACAACAGCAGCAACAACAAGGUGGCCGUGACCUGGAGAAGCCAAAAACCUGCUCCUGUCCUCCCCCGAGACGCGCUGGAUGUGCAGCUGGGAGUUCUCUAAAGGAUUUCACAGCAGCUGAGCUCAUGCAAAAUGGUAUUUUUGCUUCACCCUUUGCAUGCCUCCCUUGUCCUUGUCCCUCUGGUUUCCCUCCCGCGCUCCAGAAGAAGAGAAUGAUGGCAGACAUGCCAGCUUUGAAAGCAGUGAGUGCUUCAGCGAGUGCAGCUCAUUACAACAUGUUCUCACCGAUGUCUGCUGCCCCUUAUCAGCCCAUCAGCCCGAACACAUCGCCCUCCGGCUGCCACCAGACACUGCUUGUCCCCAGUGGCCGAGCCCUGGCUGCAGCCUGACUCACUGCGUGGGAGACAGUAAUUAUUCUGUCCGUGGCAAAUUGGACCAGUAAUAACCUUUCUCUUCGUAGCAGUAAUGAUGCUCUUUUAAAAAUAUAUUUUAAUUGAUCGUGGAUAAUGAGUUGGACUGAGGGAGCAGGCAGCAGGGGGGUAAGGGCAGGAUGGGGCAGAUGGAGCAGGAGGAAGAGGAGGUGGUGGUGUCACGCAGGGAUGCUGCGAUGGGAUGAAUCCUGCACGCAGGGGCAGCAGAUGAGGCUCGCUGCGGUCCCAUCAGGGAUUUGUCCUCUCUCUCGGUGCCUAAGCAAGGGCUGCAUCCCGCAGGUGAGCAGAGCACGGGUCACACACACGAGGUCGUGCUUCCUCCUCCUCCUCCCUCUGCCCACGCUCUCACCACCUCCCUCCCCACCUCCUGCCCACACCGUGAUGCUCUACAAAGCCCUUUUGCUCUGCUCAGGGAGGAACAAUUGCCCUUCCCCAAGAAGUGUUUUGCUGUGAGCCCCUGAUGCGUGUUGAAUGAGAAGAAAGCCGGAUCCCGAAGCGCAGUGACCUUCUGUGUGAGGCUUUGUUAGUCCUCAGAGCUUGCCAAAGGGAUGUAUGGGGGUUUUAAUGUGAGACUGUUAUAUGCCACUGCAGCAUUUCAAGUGCCACUACUUGCAGAGCGGGGAGAUGCCUCUGUUCUUGUCUCUUGCUGGGAAGAAAAUGCAACAAUGCUCUCUAGAGGCAGAAGAAGUCAAGAAGAGGCUCGCUUUCCGCGCUCCGCACUUCACUGUGACCUCACUGCUCUUUGCAGCUGUUUAUUUCCCACAUAAAUAGCAAUUUCUGGGCAUUCUGGCCUCUUGUGCUGUAGCUUAGGUUGUUUGUUUCACCCCACCUCAGUCAACCUCAUGUAAUCAGCGUUGGAGAGGGCUGGGAGCUAUGAUCCAGGUCAGGAUGUGGCUCUAGGUCUGGAAGGCCACGCGGGGCAAGGGGAAUGGGGUAGAAUGCAGGAAGUGAUGGGCUACAGUGUGGUCCAGCAUCACUGUGGGGCAAGGAAAGCCUCUGGAUCUUGCAGUGGGAUGUUGAUAGGGGAAAGUCCUUAAGGACUGAUUCAUCCCAGGGCAGGUGCAGCAGCUCAGUCAGGCAGCAGCUGCCCCUUAAUAAAAGCCAGAGCGGGCAGAGGAGCUGGUCUGGGGGACUGUGGC